rnacentral:misc_RNA from 1 species
UCUCCGUAGGUGAACCUGCGGAGGGAUCAUUACUGAGUGAGGGCUCCGGCCCGACCUCCAACCCCAUGUGAACCGAAACCUGUUGCUUCGGGGGGCGACCCUGCCGUUCGGCGCGGCGCCCCCGGAGGUCAUUAAAACUCUACAUCUCUACGUCGGAGUUAUAAGUCAAUUGAACAAAACUUUUAACAACGGAUCUCUUAGUUCUAGCAUCGAUGAAGAACGCAGC